AUGAACGCUAGCUACAGGCUUAACACAUGCAAGUCGAGGGGCAGCAUGGUCUUAGCUUGCUAAGACUGAUGGCGACCGGCGCACGGGUGAGUAACACGUAUCCAACCUGCCGUCUACUCUUGGACAGCCUUCUGAAAGGAAGAUUAAUACAAGAUGGCAUCAUGAGUCCGCAUGUUCACAUGAUUAAAGGUAUUCCGGUAGACGAUGGGGAUGCGUUCCAUUAGAUAGUAGGCGGGGUAACGGCCCACCUAGUCUUCGAUGGAUAGGGGUUCUGAGAGGAAGGUCCCCCACAUUGGAACUGAGACACGGUCCAAACUCCUACGGGAGGCAGCAGUGAGGAAUAUUGGUCAAUGGGCGAGAGCCUGAACCAGCCAAGUAGCGUGAAGGAUGACUGCCCUAUGGGUUGUAAACUUCUUUUAUAAAGGAAUAAAGUCGGGUAUGCAUACCCGUUUGCAUGUACUUUAUGAAUAAGGAUCGGCUAACUCCGUGCCAGCAGCCGCGGUAAUACGGAGGAUCCGAGCGUUAUCCGGAUUUAUUGGGUUUAAAGGGAGCGUAGAUGGAUGUUUAAGUCAGUUGUGAAAGUUUGCGGCUCAACCGUAAAAUUGCAGUUGAUACUGGAUAUCUUGAGUGCAGUUGAGGCAGGCGGAAUUCGUGGUGUAGCGGUGAAAUGCUUAGAUAUCACGAAGAACUCCGAUUGCGAAGGCAGCCUGCUAAGCUGCAACUGACAUUGAGGCUCGAAAGUGUGGGUAUCAAACAGGAUUAGAUACCCUGGUAGUCCACACGGUAAACGAUGAAUACUCGCUGUUUGCGAUAUACAGCAAGCGGCCAAGCGAAAGCGUUAAGUAUUCCACCUGGGGAGUACGCCGGCAACGGUGAAACUCAAAGGAAUUGACGGGGGCCCGCACAAGCGGAGGAACAUGUGGUUUAAUUCGAUGAUACGCGAGGAACCUUACCCGGGCUUAAAUUGCAGAUGAAUUACGGUGAAAGCCGUAAGCCGCAAGGCAUCUGUGAAGGUGCUGCAUGGUUGUCGUCAGCUCGUGCCGUGAGGUGUCGGCUUAAGUGCCAUAACGAGCGCAACCCUUGUUGUCAGUUACUAACAGGUUCCGCUGAGGACUCUGACAAGACUGCCAUCGUAAGAUGUGAGGAAGGUGGGGAUGACGUCAAAUCAGCACGGCCCUUACGUCCGGGGCUACACACGUGUUACAAUGGGGGGUACAGAGGGCCGCUACCACGCGAGUGGAUGCCAAUCCCAAAAACCUCUCUCAGUUCGGACUGGAGUCUGCAACCCGACUCCACGAAGCUGGAUUCGCUAGUAAUCGCGCAUCAGCCACGGCGCGGUGAAUACGUUCCCGGGCCUUGUACACACCGCCCGUCAAGCCAUGGGAGCCGGGGGUACCUGAAGUGCGUAACCGCGAGGAGCGCCCUAGGGUAAAACUGGUGACUGGGGCU
rnacentral:rRNA from 1 species